rnacentral:rRNA from 1 species
AGCGAACGCUGGUGGCAGGCUUAACACAUGCAAGUCGAGCGGGCCCUUCGGGGUCAGCGGCGGACGGGUGAGUAACGCGUGGGAACGUGCCCUCUGGUCUGGAAUAACCCUGGGAAACUAGGGCUAAUACCGGAUACGCCCUUUUGGGGAAAGGCUUGCUGCCGGAGGAUCGGCCCGCGUCUGAUUAGCUGGCUGGUGGGGUAACGGCCUACCAAGGCGACGAUCAGUAGCUGGUCUGAGAGGAUGAUCAGCCACACUGGGACUGAGACACGGCCCAGACUCCUACGGGAGGCAGCAGUGGGGAAUAUUGGACAAUGGGCGCAAGCCUGAUCCAGCCAUGCCGCGUGAGUGAUGAAGGCCUUAGGGUUGUAAAGCUCUUUUAUCCGGGACGAUAAUGACGGUACCGGAGGAAUAAGCCCCGGCUAACUUCGUGCCAGCCGCCGCCGUAA